UGAAGGGGAGGAUGCCCCGGUGCAGGCCGUGCGUCACUGUCCACUGUGAUGGGGUGAUUGCCUUAGGGGUGGCUCUCAUCUCAGGAGCCUCCAGCUCCAUCUUGCCCAGAUCUUGCUCCCCAGAUCGAGAUCCAGGCCCCCAGAGCAGCUUCUUCCUCUUCCUCCAGCUCUGCAGCUUCGAAGUCCUGGAUGAGCUCGGAAAACACGGGGGGCGGCGGAGGGAGUGUGACCCGGUGGACACCAAGGUUCCAGGUGCUGGGAGAGCCCAAGGCUGCUGGGGAGCCCAAGUCAGCCUUCACUCAGGGCUCAGCCAUGAUUUCUUCUCUGUCCCAACCCCAUCCAGACAACAGAAAUGAGACUUUCAGCUCAGUCAUUUCCCUGUUGAAUGAGGAUCCCCUGCCCCAGGACUUGCCUGUGAAGAUGGCUUCAAUCUUCAAGAACUUUGUCAUUACCUAUAACCGGACAUAUGAGUCAAAGGAAGAAGCCCGGUGGCGCCUGUCCAUCUUUGUCAAUAACAUGGUGCGAGCACAGAAGAUCCAGGCCCUGGACCGUGGCACAGCUCAGUAUGGAGUCACCAAGUUCAGUGAUCUCACAG
rnacentral:sRNA from 1 species